rnacentral:rRNA from 1 species
GACGAACGCUGGCGGCGUGCUUAACACAUGCAAGUCGAACGGAAAGGCCCUGCUUUUGUGGGGUGCUCGAGUGGCGAACGGGUGAGUAGCACGUGAGUAACCUGCCCUUGACUUUGGGAUAACUUCAGGAAACUGGGGCUAAUACCGGAUAGGAGCUCCUGCUGCAUGGUGGGGGUUGGAAAGUUUCGGCGGUUGGGGAUGGACUCGCGGCUUAUCAGCUUGUUGGUGGGGUAGUGGCUUACCAAGGCUUUGACGGGUAGCCGGCCUGAGAGGGUGACCGGCCACAUUGAGACUGAGAUACGGCCCAGACUCCUACGGGAGGCAGCAGUGGGGAAUAUUGCACAAUGGGCGGAAGCCUGAUGCAGCAACGCCGCGUGCGGGAUGACGGCCUUCGGGUUGUAAACCGCUUUCGCCUGUGACGAAGCGUGAGUGACGGUAAUGGGUAAAGAAGCACCGGCUAACUACGU